rnacentral:snRNA from 1 species
GUGCUUGCUUCGGCAGCACAUAUAUGAAAAUUGGAACAACACAGAGAAGAUUGGCAUGCCCCCUGCACAAGAAUGACACACAAGUUAGUGAAGAUUUUCAUAUAAUU